GGGACAGAGAGGGAGAGAGAAUCCCAAGUAGGCUCUGUGCUAUCAGCACAGAGCCCAAAUUAGGGCUUGAACUCACAAACUGUGAGAUCAUGACCUAAGCCGAAAUCAAGAGUCAGACGAUGGGGUGCUAGAGUGGCUCAGUUGGUUAAACAUCUGACUUUGGCUCAGGUCAUGAUUUCACAGUUCAUGAGUUCGAGCCCCACAUCGGGUUCUGUGCUGACAGCUCAGAGCCUGGAGCCUGCUUCGGGUUCUGUAUCUCCCUUUCUGCCCCUCCCCUACCCAUGCUCUGUCUCUCUCUCUCAAAAAUAAACAUGUAAAAAAAUUUUUUAAAGAGUCAGAUGCUUAACCUACUGAGCCACCCAGAUGCCCCUACCACUAACACUUUGGAACAAGCUACUAUCAUCUCUCACACCUCUUUCUGCUUCCUUCCACAUCUUCUUUUCUUCCUCCACUCUUGUCCACCUUCAGCCUAUUUCCAACACAAUAGAGAUCCCCUUAACAUAUAAAUCUCAUCAUGUCAGUCAAAACCCUCCAUUGGCUUUUAACUCAUUCAGAGUUAAAGCCCAGAUCCUUAAAGUGGCCUCCAAGGUCCUUGUGCUGUGGCCCCUAUCCUCCUCUCUAACCUCACCGCUUGCCAUUCUUGUUCCAGGCUUCUUGAACCCACCACAUUUCUGCCUCAGGACCUUUGCACUUGCUGGUUCUUUUGUCUAAAAUAUUCUUCCUUUAGGUAGGUGCAUGUUGUCUCCUCUCUUCAGAGGGGGCUUCCCUAAGCACUCUACCUAAAUAGCAGCCCUCACUACUCUAUUCUCCUAUGCGGCCUCAUUCUCAUAGCACUGAUCACCAUUUCACAUAUUUCUGUUUGUCUCCUUGCUUAUCAUCUCUCUUUCUCUAAUGCGUUAGAACAGGGACUUGUUUUGUUCACUGCUCUAUCUCCAGUGCCUCUAUAGAGGAGUGUGUGGCAUGUAGUAGGCAUCUCAUAAAUGCUUGUUGAAUGGAGGGAUGGAUGAACAAAUUACUCAGUCUAUUGCUUAUUUCCUAAACUAGCUUCUAAGUACCUUAAGGGUAGAUGCCCCCACCUUAUCAUCUCUGUGCUCUAAUGUGAACUUAUAAACACUGACAACAUAUGUACAGUGACUGAAACAAUUUGUAUUAUGCAGAAACCAUCUUAAACAAGCACAAGUUGACUAGGUACUGGAAAUGCUGGAAUUCGAGAGAGCAGAGUUCCCAGCCAGGCUGUUAUUAAAGAGCUGUGUGGUCUGCGAAAACCUGUCUUAUAUGGGCCUCUGUUUCUCAUCUGAAAGGCAAGUCUUAGACUAGAUUUUGAAAUCCCAGUCAGCCUUGAAUUUUUGUGGUUGUAAAUUUAGGGUAAUUGCGUAUUCACUUGACAAAUGUUUUUGGUUUUUUUAAAUAUUUAUUUUUGAGAGAGAGACAGACAGAAUGCAGGCAGGGGAGGGGCAGAGAGAGAGGGAGACACAGAAUGCAAAGCAGGCUCAAGGCUCUGAACAGUCAGCACAGAGCCUGACUCAGGGCUCGAACUCGUGAACCACAAGAUCAGGACCUGAGCUGAAGUCAAAUGUUUAACCAACUGAGUCACCCAGGCGCCCCAACCACUUGACAAAAGUUUACUGAGCUGGGUUCCAGGAACUAGUUGGGGGUAAAAAAAAAAAAAAAAAAGUCUCAAUCUCAAGAGCUCCCAGACUGAAGGAACAAGACAAAAUAGGGUCAGCUCAGCCACAAUAAUUGAGUGUUAAAGAGGCAGAGAAGCAUGCCCUGGGGAAGGGCAUUCUAAGCCAAAGAAAUGGCUGUACAAAGGCAGGAGGCAUGGAGACAAAGAAUUGUUGGAGCCAAAUGGCUUUUGUAUGCAGAGAGGUAUGCCCUACAUCCCACAAAGCAGAAAUCUAUUCCAGCCAGGGGAACAUUCACAACUGGAAAAUAGCCAGAUGGGGCAGGCCCAGAGCCUAAACUGUUCAAAUUUAGGAAAGGACCCAGCAAGUUCUCUCAGGGCUUCCUGUGAGAUCUUUUUCCUCACCGGUCUGUGGCGCCUCCAAGGCCACCCACACCGUUUCCACCUCCCCAGCUCACGACAGGCCCAAGUCUGGGCACAAAAGGCAGACCAAUUUUUGGUAUUUUGUUGGUACCUGGUUGGAUUUGGGGGAAAGGGCAAGUUCUAACUGCAGAUUGGGCGCCCAGAGUGGGGUAGGGCAGUUGCCCCCGGCAUGACCCGACCUAGUCUAGUAGUUGAAGUGCCCUUGUUACCAAGCUUGCUGAGGGGGGGCGAGACUGGGACUUGCUCCACUCUCAUUGGUCAGCAGAGAAGUGCCACCGAGGAACCCUUGUUGCCAGAGGCAAGAACGAGAGCCCAUUGGUCAGGACACCUCACAAUGGCCCCGGCAGCGCACAGGAUUCUUCCGAUUGGUUCGCUGUCUGCCUCGGGAGACUCCUGUUGCCUCGACGCCCAGCAGGCUCCUUGGCGCCCUG
rnacentral:lncRNA from 1 species